GGCUGGUCCCAUGGUAGUGUGUUAUCAGAAUUUAUUAACAUUGGUGUCACUAAAGUUGGUGUACAACCCCUCACUGCUAAAUUUGACUGGCUUUAA
rnacentral:Y_RNA from 1 species